rnacentral:snoRNA from 1 species
UUGCGGCCAGUCGAGCCGACUGCUCUUUUCUUCGUGGGGCCUGCAGACAGCAGCCGUCUUGGGAGGGUGUGCAGCCUGUUGCCUACGGUUGCCCUAAGGGGCCUUGGACACAGCA